UAAUAUUAAAAAUUUGAAACAUCUCCAUUAAAGACUUGCCACAAAAGUAGCAAAAACUUAUCCACAAUACAAGGAAAUAAAGUUUACUUGCAAGCUAUAGAUUGAUUAUCAAGCCAUAUAUACUUAAACUUGGAAGAAAACAAAAGGGUAGCGUUCUAAUGGAAAAUUUACAGUUUUCAUCCUUUAAGUUUACAUGAAUUCCACAUUUGAUCCUUAAUCUUUGUUAAAAACAUAUAGAUCCCUCAUUUUU
rnacentral:lncRNA from 1 species